rnacentral:rRNA from 1 species
CCCCCCGCCCGUUUUUUUAAACGAAACAUAGUCAGUAGAAAUUCCACAAAAAGAUUAUUGAUAUUUUCUGCCCGGUGUAAAUUAUUAACGGCCGCAGUACCUUGACUGUGCUAAGGUAGCAUAAUCAAUUGGCUAUUAAUUGUAGUCUGGAAUGAAAGAAGUAAUGAAUAGUAACUAUAAUAAUUAGUAUUAUUUUAAUUUAUUUAUCUGGUGAAAAUACCAGUAAAUUAGAAAAAAGACGAGAAGACCCUUAGAAUUUUUAAAGAAAAGUGUAAAAUUAUUUCCUUUUAAGGAAAAUAGACUACAUCCUAAUUUUUUGUUGGGGCGACAAGAAAACAAAAAUUCCAAAACUUUUCUAUUUAAAUUUUUUUAAAAAAUUAAUUAAAUCUGACGAAAUUUUUAUGAAUAGCUAAAUUACCUUAGGGAUAACAGCAUAAUGAUAAAUAUUAGUUUGUGACCUCGAUGUUGGACUAGGAACUUUAUCACUAACAGUGUAAAAAGAAUGUUCUGUUCGAACAAGAAUUUCCUACAUGAUCUGAUUUCAGACCCCGGCNGNCGA